AAAUUGAAGAGUUUGAUCAUGGCUCAGAUUGAACGCUGGCGGCAGGCCUAACACAUGCAAGUCGAACGGUAACAGGAAACAGCUUGCUGUUUCGCUGACGAGUGGCGGACGGGUGAGUAAUGUCUGGGAAACUGCCCGAUGGAGGGGGAUAACUACUGGAAACGGUAGCUAAUGCCGCAUAACGUCGCAAGACCAAAGAGGGGGACCUUCGGGCCUCUUGCCAUCGGAUGUGCCCAGAUGGGAUUAGCUAGUAGGUGGGGUAAAGGCUCACCUAGGCGACGAUCCCUAGCUGGUCUGAGAGGAUGACCAGCCACACUGGAACUGAGACACGGUCCAGACUC
rnacentral:rRNA from 1 species